UGAGACAGUCAGCCCAUAAGCUAAGGACCCAUGACCUUAGGAAGGGGUAUUCUAAAAAAAAAAAUCAGAUUUUUCCCAUUCUGCAUUUUCCUUUCUCUCUCUAGACAGAGCUCUUUUCUUCCUAAGAAGGUGCUUUGCCUUCUCUCUAAAAGAUCCAGACACUGAACCGUUUAAAAUUUAAUUUGAAGGUGCCUAAACGAUCGCGGCCGCAAGGGCUUUAACUUGAACCAAACAAUUUCUUAUUCCAACUAGUUCUGUAAGUUCAACGCUGAGUGGGUUCCUGUUAGGGCGUUUUCAAUUUGCUACUUUUAAAGAAAACCAGAGGAGAAUGAGGUCACUCUGGAGCGUGCCUUGGAAGGAAAUGAAGAAGAUACCGCUGCUUAGACUCUCUAGGACCUUCUUAGUUCUUUUAUGUUGUUCUUUUGAAACACUUUCAGUUUAAUCUAUGCUCUGAUACAAUCCAGCACCUUAAGUUUUAAUUGUUUUUGCCAAAUUCUGGAUAACUGUAAUCCUUGUUUAAGGACCUUAAACAC